GCCUUUCCCCCGCCCUGCCAAGGUGCCUGCCAGGGCAGGGCCACCCACCCUGUGCAAUCCUCUUCUCCCACACCCCCCAACAGCUCCCCUCCAUAGUCUCCUGUGCACCACAAGAUGUUCAGGACGCCCCCCUCCCCGACAAAUCCAGUCCCCAACUGUCACACCUGGACUCGGCUUCCUACGCUAUGUCUAAAGGCUGGUCUACCCUUGAAAGUUCAUUUAGAUUAAGUUAGGGUGUGAAUUUAAAACGCAACAGCUCUUCCAGAAUAGUCCCCUGCGUGGACAUUCUUAUUCUUAAAUAAGAGUGCUCCCAUGGAUUGGUUAAUUUCCCCAAGCAGAUGAGCCCUUAAUUAGGAAAAGAGAGAAAUUAGGUUAAUGUUGGGUAAUAUUGACCUCUUUUGCUCAUCUGGAUAUAUCCCUAGAUACCAAAUGUGUAGCAAGGCACUUCUCCACCCCUUAAACUGUCUGCAUCCAGCUCUGGAACUGUACCUCCCAUUCCAUGCAUUUUAGUGACCACUACAUAUUUUUUUUGGAGGGACACAUUUGUGGUGGAAUACAGUGAUCCUAUUGAUUUGUCAAUCGCAAAAAUCCUGUUUAUUUUCACAGAGCCAGGAUUUCACCCUUGGUGUCUAAGAUAAGAGCACACCUUGAGCUGAGCUGAGAUGCCAUGCUCUAGCUCUAGGCAGGGUGAUUGUAUUGUGUGCUGGAACUUGCCAUCUCCACAUACUACAUGUCCAUAUUAUGAAUGAAGUUGGUUGCAAGCUGUUCCAUUUUAUGCUGGUUUUGGGCAGCCUGGCAAAUUGCCAAUGUAUCUCCCUCAGGUGGGCAGUUUUUUAGGUGCCUUUGUAUUAACCAACAGAGCCUUUUCCAUGUAAACAUCAUCCUUUUUAUAGACCCAGUUCCUUAUGUUCUUGUAAAAAUGAUUCAAAUAUAUCUCUUUCACCUGGCCCUCAGGAUUGAAAUGAGAGAGAGAUGCUGAAGUAUAGUGAGUUUUAUUGUCUGAAAAAGAAAUAAAUAAAAUCAAAUAAUCCCACAGUCCACUGGAGGGCUAUAGUGAGUGCUGGAAAGGAUUUGUACUGCUUGCUGAGAGCGUAAUGAAGAAAGUGACUGUGGCAGCGAAAACAGCCCAUUCACUUUUUUUAUCUGGAAGGGGAACAUUUUACAUCCCCCAAGUUAGGAAUUAUGGGGUCGUCAGCUAGAAGUACUGUUUGAUCUCCCUAUAUAAGGUGAAGGGAAGUUGUGAGAGAGAGAUUGUUGUAGGUACUGUAUUUUGAAAGGUGGCACCGAUAAGAACAGUGUCUCAGCAGCAGGUAGUUGAGAGUAUUUUGUGUAUUCUGUCUUUUGCUUUUAAAAUAUUUUAAAACCAGAGAAGUGUGUGGGUGUUGGUAGGAGAUGGUUUGGUGAGAGAGACAGAUACAACGUCAGGGACAUUAAAAAGAGAGACUGCAAAUGGUGCUGUGCACUAGCAUCUGACUGAGAGACAGAAGCCUCCAGGGAGAAGAAAGGAAGGAAGAAGGGCCUAAAAGGGUUGUCUGGGAAGUGGUGGCUCAAAAUGAGUCCACCACAACCACUACUGCUAUGACUCAGGGGACUGGUCUUUCCUCCCUUUAGAUAAAGGGGUUGGAAGCUCUACUGUCAGCUCUUUGUGUUGUGAUUCUCUGAUAGCCCCAGUCGCCUCCAUGCUGGGCCUACCAUAUGCACUGCCGUCCUGGCAUUGAGGUGUCUCAAAUGAGAAUCUAUGAGGCAUAACACAGUAGCUUGCUGCCUUCAAACACAACGGGCAACAGAGGACAACGAGAGCCGGCUCCCUCCUCCAGCCAAUGUCCUCACCUUUUUUGCUUCCUGAAUCCAGUCUUGUCCAUUGGAAUGCCCUGGACCCCAAAUUGAUCUGUGUAUCUAAGUUCUGAUGGACACUGAGUCCCCUUCUAACAUAAUCAAUGCCACUCCUGGGUGGGGCCUUGGGGAUCUCCAAGUCCUAGAGCCUCCUGGGAAAUGCCUCUAUAGCCUUAUAGAUCAGUCCAGGCAUGCCGUGGAGACACUUUUACAGUAGAACCACCAUCCUGGAACUCUGCUGACCAUCCUCACUUCCCUCCUUUCCCUGCUUCAGUUACCUGCUCGCGGUCUGCUGCACUAUCCUGCUUCAUCACCUCAUGGGGGAUCAUCAGAGUUUCCAAACCGUGAAUUAAUACUAACCUACCCUACAGGGGAGUUGUGAGACUUAAGAUCCUCACUUUACACAAGGGGAAAACUGAAGCACAGAGAGUUUGUGGUUUGCCCAAGGUCACACACUAUGCUACUUUGGGUGAUGCCCACUGCUAACACAUCGGGUACAACAGUGGAAAAGCCAGACAGGGCUGAUGGCCCAUCAGUGAGGACAAUGGACUGUGGAAAGGCUUGGACUUCCAUAUGGCCACUGAUUCAUGGAUGCUGUAAUACUAUAGAGUCAGGUGGUCUUGUCACCUGAUACUAAUCAUUACCUGGGACUUCUUGUAACUUUCCACUGGAAGGAGGUCAAGUUUGGAAAGCAAAGGAUUUUCGCCUUAUGUAAAACCUGUUUAAGGGUGGGGAGGAAGACAAGCGGACUCCUCCUCUUCAUGGCCUGUUUGCCCAAGAAGAAAGACUGCUAAAGCCACCUGAAGGGAAGGCAGGGGGAGUGUCCAAACUGAGACAUGGGUCUAGUCUGAAAAGGAAUAUAACUGGAACUCUGAACCACAGAAACUUUGCAACCUGCCUAAAAUAACAUUUAGGGUGAGAAUUUCCAUUUUGUAACCUGUUUCUUAAGCAUUUUGAGCUUAGCUUGUGUGUUUUGCUGUAUUUGGUCAGUAAUCUGCUGUGUUCUGUCUGUUAUCUCUUAUAUUCACUUAAA